UGCAGUCGAGCGGAGUCGACUGGAUGCGUCUGUGCUCUCACUUGACGACGGACGGAUGAGUGAUGCUUGUGAGUCUGCCUGUCAGAGGGGGGCAACUUCCUACUGGGGACGCUAAUACCUCCCACAUCCUGCCGGAGAAACCAGGGGGUCGAUUGUGACCUUGCGCGCCUUCAUAAGCCCCCGUCUGAUUAUCUAUUUGGUGGGGGGAAGGCCUUCCCCGGCGACAAUAUGCCUCGGUGGUGAGAGGAUGAUCCCCCCCACUGUGGCUGAGACACGGCCCCCACACUCCCAGGAGGCGCCACUGGGGAAAAUUGUGCAAUGUGGGGAACCCUGAUCCACCCAUGCCGCGUGUGUGAAAAAAGCCUUAUGGUUGUGAAGCACUUUUUCCGAGGAGAAGGCUCUUUUGGUUAAUACCCACUAUGAGUGUGCGUUACUCCCAAAAUAAACCCCCGCUAACUCUGUGCCCACAGCCCGCGGUAAUACAGAAGGUGCAAGCGUUAAUUCGGAUUUACUGGGGCGUAAAAGCGCGCGUAGGCGGCCAAUUAAGUCAAAUGUGAAAUCCCCGAGCUUAACUUGGGAAUUGCAUUCGAUACUGGCUGGCUAGAGUGUUGGAGAGGAUGGUAGAAUUCCAGGUGUAGCGGUGAAAUGCGUAGAGAUCUGGAGGAAUACCGAUGGCGAAGGCAGCCCUCUGGACUAACACUGACGCUCAGGUGCGAAAGCAUGGGGAGCAAACAGGAUUAGAUACCCUGGUAGUCCAUGCCGUAAACGAUGUCUACUAGGAGGUUGUGCCUUUGAGGCUUGAGUGCCGCAGCUAACGCGAUAAGUCGACCGCCUGGGGAGUACGGUCGCAAGACUAAAACUCAAAUGAAUUGACGGGGGCCCGCACAAGCGGUGGAGCAUGUGGUUUAAUUCGAUGCAACGCGAAGAACCUUACCUGGCCUUGACAUAGUCGAAACUUUCCAGAGAUGGAUUGGUGCCUUCGGGAAUUUUCAUACAGGUGCUGCAUGGCUGUCGUCAGCUCGUGUUGUGAGAUGUUGGGUUAAGUCCCGCAACGAGCGCAACCCUUUUCCUUAGUUGCCAGCAUUUCGGCUGGGAACUUUAAGGAUACUGCCAGUGACAAACUGGAGGAAGGUGGGGAUGACGUCAAGUCAUCAUGGCCCUUACGGCCAGGGCUACACACGUGCUACAAUGGUCGGUACAAAG
rnacentral:rRNA from 1 species